rnacentral:rRNA from 1 species
UGCAAGUCGCACGAGAACACUCAGCUUGCUGGGGUAAGUAAAGUGGCGCACGGGUGAGUAACGCGUGGGUAAUCUGCCCUCGAAUCUGGGAUAACCCCGCGAAAGCGGGGCUAAUACCGGAUGAAAUCCAGUUAGCUUUGGCUAUAUGGAUCAAAGGUGGCCUCUGCAUGCAAGCUACUGUUUGGGGAUGAGCCCGCGUACCAUUAGCUUGUUGGUGGGGUAAAGGCCCACCAAGGCGACGAUGGUUAGCUGGUCUGAGAGGAUGAUCAGCCACACUGGAACUGGAACACGGUCCAGACUCCUACGGGAGGCAGCAGUGAGGAAUUUUGCGCAAUGGGGGUAACCCUGACGCAGCAACGCCGCGUGAGUGAUGAAGGCCUUCGGGUCGUAAAGCUCUGUCAAGUGGGAAGAACCCAUUCCGGCACAACAAGCCGGGGUGCUGACGGUACCACUGAAGGAAGCACCGGCUAACUCCGUGCCAGCAGCCGCGGUAAUACGGAGGGUGCGAGCGUUAUUCGGAAUUACUGGGCGUAAGGGGCGCGUAGGCGGCCGAUUAAGUCAGAUGUGAAAUCCCGGGGCUUACCCCCGGAAGUGCAUUUGAUACUGAACGGCUUGAGUAUGGGAGAGGGAAGUGGAAUUCCUGGUGUAGCGGUGAAAUGCGUAGAUAUCAGGAGGAACACCGGUGGCGAAGGCGACUUCCUGGACCAAUACUGACGCUGAGGCGCGAAGGCGUGGGGAGCAAACAGGAUUAGAUACCCUGGUAGUCCACGCAGUAAACGGUGAUCACUAGGUGUAGCGGGUAUUGACCCCUGCUGUGCCGGAGUUAACGCAUUAAGUGAUCCGCCUGGGGAGUACG